CCUCCACGCCACGCUUGCUCGCCGAAGCCGCGCCCGAGGCUCCGGCUGCCGCCACCGCCUCUGCCCCGGCUAUAAAGGCGCGCCCUUUGGCCGCCCCGCUCCUCCUCCUCCUCUCUUCGUCCGCGCCGCGCCACUCGCCUCCUCGCCGCGCUCUGGCCGGCCCGCUCCUCCUCCUCCUCCUCUCUUCGCCCGGGCCGCGCCUCUCGCCUCCUCGCCGCGCUCGGGCCGGUCUGCUGCUCCUCCACUCUUCGUCCGGGCCGUGCCGUUCUCCUCCCCGCCGCGCUCUGGCUGGUUUGCUGCUCCUCCUCCUCCUCCCCCUCUCCUCAUCCGGGCCGUGCCUCUGUCCUCCUCGAGUCGCUCGUCCUCCAUCGAUUCGUCCGUUUAGAACCGCGUCUGGAUUUGGUUUUGCUCGCCCUCGCCGUCGCCGGUUUAGAUAGAAGAAUCCCGCCUGGUCUGAUUUUGCUCCUUCUUGCUGUCGUCCGUUUAGAAUCGCGUCUGGAUUUGAUUUUGCUCGUCCUCGCCGUCGCCGGUUUAGAUAGAACGCCGCCUGGUUUGAUUUUGCUCGUUCUCGCCGCCGUUCGUCCGUUUAGAGUCGCGUCUGAUUUGAUUUCGCUCGUGCUCGGUUCGUCGGUUCAGAAUCGCUUCCGAGUUGAUUUUGCUCGUCCCCGCCGUUCGUCAGUUUAGAGUCGCUUCCCCUGAUUUGGUUCUGCUCGUCCUGGCCGUCGUCCGUUUUUCCUCGCCCCCGUCGUCGCCCCGAUGCGCUCGCGUGUUCUUGGUCCGUCUCGUCGAGGGUCUCCGUCUGGUUUGUGAUUGAGAAAUUUCUGCGUGCGCUUCUUCUGUUGUCUGAGAGACACUUUGGAUCCUGCGUUUCUUGUUCGUGUCAGCGCGAGUGUUACAGGAACGGCCGAGUCUUGGUUUUGAAAUUGGGUUACGGCCGGAGAUGAGGAAACGGAGAGCAACUGUCAGUUUGUCGUGCUAGUUCAGAUCUCAAACGACUAGCUUGUUCGUGUUCGUCCGUCAGAGACGUGCUCUUUGAUACUCUGGUUCCUCUGUCGAUUCUGAAUGUACCGGCUAGCUUGUUUCCCUUUGGGCAGGCGUGUGUGCUCUCAUCCUAGAUGCAGGGGUGAUUCUUUACGGUUCUUCUUAUGGGUGUUACACUGUUACUGCUUCUGUUCUUUUCAAUUGGUUAUUACUUCCUAUCAAUGCUUUGCUUCUGUUCCCAUAUAUUGCUAGGCCGUGGGUGCCAUUUCUUGCAGGCAGGCAGAGCAGAAAAGUUUUAAAAGAUUGCAAACCAUGUGGCAUGCUGCCUGACUAAUUGAACACCUGUUGCUGCUACUGUUGGACAAGGUUUCCUUCUGUUAUUCCUCGUGUUGCUAUUUCCAUUUUCAUACGAGUACUAUAUGAGGUGCUGGUAGUUAGUUCCCCUUAGACUUCGUUCUAGAUUGCAUAGCAUAACUGCAGAAAUUUUUCGUUGCACACCUGGGCAUAUAAUUCCACUGUGAGCAUAACUUCAGAAUUUAUUUAUCUGUGAAAGCACUUUCGUCACAUGUUUUUUAUCAAUGCUGCUCACUUUUGUCACGCCCCUUUUGUUUGUCCUGUUAAAUUUGAUGGAGCAAAUUUUGUACUCACUGGUUAAAAUAUCGAGAAUGCUGACUUCUGUAUUUGUCGCUAUGUUUGUUUAUAACCUGGUUGUGAUCUAAUAUAGUGUAAAUCUGCUAAUUUUCUUAGUUUGAUUUAUGUUCAACGCAAGUAACAUUUAUUUAGCCAAAUUUUGCUACUUCUGAGAACUUUGUUUUUAGAUGUGUUGUAUCCAUAAUUGCCUAUUCUGAUAUUUGCAUUGAUCUUUCUAUAUAAAGUCAUUGGCAUGUCAUGUUGUGACCUAUAUACCUCUGUGGUUGGCAGUAUCUUUGCCCUUUGAUUCUGCUCAUCCUCGCUGUCGUCAGUUUAGAGUCGUGUCUGAUUUGAUUUUGAUCUCCUCGUCGUCGUCCGUUUAGAAUCUCGUCUGAUUAGAUUUUAUCGUCCCGUCUGAUUAGAUUUUAUCGUCCUCGCUGUCGCCCUGAUGCGCUCGCAUGUUCUUGGGUCGUCUCGUCGAGGGUAUCCGUCUGGUUUGCGAACUAAAAUUUCUCUUUGAGAAAUUUCUGCGUCCAUUUCUGUUAUCUGAGAGACAUUCCAGAUCCUGUGUUUUCUGUUCGCGUCGGCGUGACGGUUGUAAGAACGAUCAGGUCUAGUUUCGUAAUUGGAUUACAUACGGAAACGGGGACCAAUGUCAGUUUGCCGUGCUAGUUCAGAUUGGUUUCACUUUCUGGAACUUCUUUAUAGCUUUCUGAGUUUAAUACUUGGAUCUUGCAUGUAUUAGCUUUCUGUUUGUACCCCUAUCUAUGUCUGACUGUGUGUGUGUGUGAUGUGCCCCUAUCUAUGUAUGUUUCUUUGUCUGUUUCAUGUGUGCAAGCGUUCCAUUGUCUGUGUGUGACUGUGUGUGUGAUGUGCCCCAAUCUAUGUAUGUUUCUUUGUCUGUUUUAUGUGUGCAAGCGCUCCAUUGCCUGUGUGUGACUGUGUGUUUGACUGCUUAGAUGGGGUGAUUCUGAUUGUGUUACUGCUUAUAUGGUCUGUCCAAUUGGUUCCUUCUUCAUGCUUUGCUUGUGUUCCAAUGUCGUCUCCCCAUAUAUGGGGAUGUGUUCAGGGAUGCAAACCAUGUAGGCCAUUUCGAGCAGGCAGGGAUCCAGAGACGUGCAUUGGUCAGGCUUCUCUCCUACUGAUAGAUGAUAAUAGGCUGAGCAGGAAAAAUUGACUCUUGUAACACUCACUUGCUUGGCUUCCACUCCUUUGCGUGGCCGAUUUGGCAUCCAAUGCAUCCCAUGCCUAUCUUAUUUCUCACUCACUCAUCACAGCACCCAUUUCCCUGUUUUUGUUCCUUAUUUUCCUUGUCAUAAUAGUCAUGUUUACCAUGGUGUUUGACAAUGCAUUAUUUGUCAUAUCUGUAUUUCGUUAUGUCUUAUGUGGAUAUCAUAUACUUUUUUUUGUAUUACUGCUGUUCAGUCCACUGGAAUAAUGCUUUUCUAAGUAUUUCAGGUAGGAUAUAGACAAAUGUCACAUUUGCUCUUCCUUUUGUUGCUAAGGACACUGAUUGGUUGGGUUUGCUUACAGCGCAGGACAGAUAAUUCUAUAAAGAAUCAUUGGAAUAUUUCUUUGAGAAAGAAGUUAGAUGUCUGGCACCAGAAAUAUUUUGGCAAUUCGAAGACUUCAUGAUGACUUCAAGAAUAAACAGAAGACGGCUUCUUCUGAGGGCCAUCUUGAUCUGAACAGCUCAUCAUUCUAAUUUUAGCUCACCUCUACAGUCAUACAAACUGGCAUGCCGAGGACUGCUCAGGGUUCCUAUCGCUUUCUGUUUUACCAACUAAGGUAAUCAAAAUUUAAUCUUCAGCUUGCAAAUUUAUCACCUUAUGGGAGGGAAACGUUUGCAUGUACAUGACCUCUGAUUAUCUACAUAUAUACUUGAAUUGCUUUGAAUUUGUCGGACUACUAUUCUACAUGAUGUUCUCCAUGAUUCACUUGAUUUGUUAAUUUGAGUAUUUUCCUGGUGAGUUCUUUAGGUUCAUCUUGUGACACAAAAUACAAUUUUGGUACAUGCAGACUCUUAAAUUUCGUGAUAAAGAAAAGGUACUCCCUAAUUUGCUCUCUGGCUCUCUUAAACUUGUCUUUGUUUGUAUAACAGUAGUGGCCUCCUGGCUUGUAGUUGGGUAAUGCAGAGAGAGGUCUGGAAUUGAAGCUAUAAACUAAAAUAAUGCAGAGUUAAAGGUUCUGAACUGGAAGCUUGAACAAACAGCUUACUUUUUUUCAUGUCUUCGAUUAGUUUCAUCCUAUCUAUGUCUGUUUCUUGUGUGCAAGCACUCCAUUGUAUCUGUGUGACUGACUCUGUGUGUGACCGUGACUGUGCGUGUGACUGACUGUGUGUGACCGUGAGUGUGUGUGUGACCGUGACUGUGCGUGUGACUGACUGUUUGUGUGUGUGACUGACUGUGUGUGUGUGUGUUUCUUUGUUUGUUUCUUGUGCAAGCGCUCCAUUGUGUGUAUGUGUGUGUGUGUGACCGUGACUGUGCGUGUGAUUGACUGUUUGUGUGUGUGACUGACUGUGUGUGUUUCUUUGUCUGUUUCUUGUGCGCAAGCGCUCCAUUGUUUGUGUGUGUGUGCUGUGACUGUGUGCCAUUUUAUGAUUGUGACUGUAUUUGACUCUGUGUGUAUUGACUGUGUGUCAUUGUGCAAGCGCUCCAUAACUACCUAUUGGCACCUGAUAAUGCAUGGAUAUUUCUAUAUAAGGUCACUAGCAUGUUAUUUUAUGACCUACAUACCUCUGUAGUUGGUAGUAUCAUUGCCCUUUGGACACUCUUCAAUGCAUUGCUGUAUAUUUAUGAUGUUUGUGCUCAGAAUGAUGUAUAUGUAGAAUCCAGGGGUGUAUGGAGGUUUUCAUGAUGGCUAAUUUGAUUAAUUAUUAUGGUUGUUCUGAUGGUGUGCUUCUGCUGUUUGAACUGAAGUUGUGUAUCGCCCAUCAACCUGGUCUGUGUUUGUAUGCUGAAUUAUUUCCGGAUAGGACAGAGGUGCAAUGUUUACAUCCAUGGCAGAAGGUUCUUUAACACCGAACUCAUCAAAGGUCCUUGGGCUCAAAAGGAAGAUAACAAAAUUAUUGACCUUGUUAACAAGUAUGGACCAACAAAAAUGAUCUCAUUGCAAGUGGACGUAUAGGCAAGCCAUGUCGGGAGAGGUCAGCUACUAGAACUUCCUGCUACUGAUCCUGGGAUGUUCCAAACAUGCUCCGGAACAUGUUCAAUUUAUCCACCCUAGGACAGCCACUGCCAUGACACAACAGGUAUGCUUGAUUUUUAGGCUACUUGGCAUGCUCAGCGUGUUUAGUCGGUGGACUUCCUCCAAUCGCUAAUGAACAGAUGGUUGCUCUAUUCUUCAAUCAAGUUAUGGCUGCUAUCGGGGGAAACGCAUUUGGUCCAGGUGAUGCAGUUGUUAAUAUGAAGCUGAUUUUUGAAUUCAUACAAAAACAUCUUAGGUGGCUUAAUCAUCUGAUUGUGUGUGUGUGUGACUGACUGACUGUGUGUCUCUGUGGCUGUGUGUCUGUGGCUGUGUGUGUGUGUGACUGACUGUGUGU